rnacentral:lncRNA from 1 species
UCUCCAACUAAGUUUAUUCAAAUUAUAAAAGCUGUGUCAUAGAAAUGACAAUUAUCUCCUUUAUCUUACGAAGACCAUCAGAAAAUUCUAGUUUGAAUACACAUGGAUGUCGUAUUACAAUGAUGCUUCUCCUUGCUUUUAAAUUUAACUUAGUUAGUAUUUUUGCUGUUUAAGAGAAUAUUUAAGUCUGAAGCCCAAGGACAGAUUAAAGUGGUAUAUACAGCUCUUUUUUUAGAUGGACUCUUGCUCUUGUUGCCCAGGUUGGAGUGCAAUGGUGUGAUAUUGGCCCACCACAACCUCCGCCUCCUGGGUUCAAUGAUUCUCCUGCCUCAGCCUCCCGAGUAGCUAGGAUUACAGGCAUGCGACCACGCCUGGCUAAUUUUGUAUUUUUAGUAGAGGCGGGGUUUCUACAUAUUGGGUAAGCUGCUCUUGAACUCCCGACCUCAGGUGAUCCUCCUGCCUCAGCCUCCCAAAGUGCUGGGAUUACAAGCAUGAGCCACCACACUUGGCCUACGCAGCUUUUAUUACGUGCUCAAAGAUUUAAAAGCUACAAGCUUAAAACUGAAUAUGUUAUGAGAAUACAAAUUCUUAAUUUUUUUUUAAGACGGAGUCUUUAAGCCUGUUGCCCAGGCUGGAGUGCAGAGGUGUCAUCUUGGUUCACUGUAAUCUCUGCCUCCUGGGUUCAAGCGAUUCUCCUGCCUCAGCCUCCCGAGUAGCUGGGAUUACAGGCACCCGCCACGACACCUGGCUAAUUUUUGUAUUUUUAGUAGAGACAGGGUGAUACCAUGUUGGCUGGUCUCAAACUCCUGACCUCAAGUGAUCUGCGCGCCUUGGCCUCCCAAAGUGCUGGGAUUACAGCCGUGAGCUGUAAUUUUUCCUUUUUCUUUUUGAGACAGGAUCUCACUUUGUUGUUCAAGCUAGAGUGCAAUGGUGUGAAUAUAGCUCACUGCAGCUUCAACCUACCAGGCUCAAGUGAUCCUUCCCACCUCAGCCUUCCAAGUAGCUAGGACCACAUACUCGUGCUACCAAGCUAGGCUAAUAUUCUGCAAAGAUGGGGUCUUGCCAUAUUGCCCAGGCUGGUUUUGAAUUCCUGAGCUCAAGUGAUCCUCUUGCCUCAAACUCCCAAAGUGCUGGAAUUACAGGCAUGAGUCACUGCACCUAAGAACCUUGCUUCUGUAGGCGUCUUUUUUUUUUUUUUUUU